UACGUAGGGUGCAAGCGUUUGUCCGGAAUUAUUGGGCGUAAAGAGCUCGUAGGCGGUCUGUCACGUCGGCUGUGAAUCCCGAGGCUCAACCUCGGGUCUGCAGUCGAUACGGGCAAACUAGAGUAUUGCAGGGGAGACUGGAAUUCCUGGUGUAGCGGUGAAAUGCGCAGAUAUCAGGAGGAACACCGGUGGCGAAGGCGGGUCUCUGGGCAAUAACUGACGCUGAGGAGCGAAAGCGUGGGGAGCGAACAGG
rnacentral:rRNA from 1 species